rnacentral:rRNA from 1 species
CAAUAGCGUAUAUUAAAGUUGUUGCGGUUAAAAGCUCGUAGUUGGAUUUCUGCCGAGGACGUCCGGUCCGCCCUCUGGGUGAGUACAUGGCACGGCCUGGGCAUCUUCUUGGGGAACGUAUCUGCACUUGACUGUGUGGUGCGGUAUCCAGGACUUUUACUUUGAGGAAAUUAGAGUGUUUCAAGCAGGCACACGCCUUGAAUACAUUAGCAUGGAAUAAUGGAAUAGGACUUUGGUCCCAUUUUGUUGGUUUCUAGGGCCGAAGUAAUGAUUAAGAGGGACAAUUGGGGGGCAUCCGUAUUUCGUUGUCAGAGGUGAAAUUCUUGGAUUUACGAAAGACGAACAACUGCGAAAGCACUUGCCAAGAGUGUUUUCAUUAAUCAAGAACGAAAGUUAGAGGAUCGAAGACGAUCAGAU